CCUACGGGGGCAGCAGUGGGGAAUAUUGGACAAUGGGCGAAAGCCUGAUCCAGCCAUGCCGCGUGUGUGAAGAAGGCCUUCGGGUGGUAAAGCACUUUCAGUGGGGAAGAAAGCCUUGGGGCUAAUACCCUCGAGGAAGGACAUCACCCACAGAAGAAGCACCGGCUAACUCCGUGCCAGCAGCCGCGGUAAUACGGAGGGUGCGAGCGUUAAUCGGAAUUACUGGGCGUAAAGCGCGCGUAGGCGGUCUGAUAAGCCGGUUGUGAAAGCCCCGGGCUCAACCUGGGAACGGCAUCCGGAACUGUCAGGCUAGAGUGCAGGAGAGGAAGGUAGAAUUCCCGGUGUAGCGGUGAAAUGCGUAGAGAUCGGGAGGAAUACCAGUGGCGAAGGCGGCCUUCUGGACUGACACUGACGCUGAGGUGCGAAAGCGUGGGUAGCAAACAGGAUUAGAUACCCGGGUAGUC
rnacentral:rRNA from 1 species